CCUACGGGAGGCAGCAGUGGGGAAUUUUGGACAAUGGGCGAAAGCCUGAUCCAGCCAUUCCGCGUGCAGGAUGAAGGCCCUCGGGUUGUAAACUGCUUUUGUACAGAACGAAAAGGUUUCUAUUAAUACUAGGAGCUCAUGACGGUACUGUAAGAAUAAGCACCGGCUAACUACGUGCCAGCAGCCGUGGUAAUACGUAGGGUGCAAGCGUUAAUCGGAAUUACUGGGCGUAAAGCGUGCGCAGGCGGUUAUAUAAGUCAGAUGUGAAGUCCCCGGGCUCAACCUGGGAACUGCAUUUGAGACUGUAUAGCUAGAGUACGGUAGAGGGGGAUGGAAUUCCGCGUGUAGCAGUGAAAUGCGUAGAUAUGCGGAGGAACACCGAUGGCGAAGGCAAUCCCCUGGACCUGUACUGACGCUCAUGCACGAAAGCGUGGGGAGCAAACAGGAUUAGAUACCCUGGUAGUCCACGCCCUAAACGAUGUCAACUGGUUNUUGGGUCUUAACUGACUCAGUAACGAAGCUAACGCGUGAAGUUGACCGCCGNGGGAGGUAACGGUCCGCGAGGUUAGUAAACGUUAACGUUAAGUAAGUUAGUUAGGCGNGNGAGAGCGACGACGACGACGACGGAGGGAGGAGG
rnacentral:rRNA from 1 species